AGGGUUGGGCUGUUCGCCCAUUAAAGCGGUACGUGAGCUGGGUUCAGACCGUCGUGAGACAGGUCGGUCUCUAUCCGCUGUGGGCGUAAGGGAUUUGAGGGGAGCUGCCCCUAGUACGAGAGGACCGGGGUGGACAGACCUCUGGUGUGCCAGUUGUCGUGCCAACGGCAUUGCUGGGUAGCCACGUCUGGCAGAGAUAACCGCUGAAUGCAUCUAAGUGGGAAACUCGCCCCAAGAUAAGAUCCCUCACCCCGUCAAGGGGGUAAGGCCGCAGGUAGACUACCUGCUUAAUAGGCGGCAGGUGUAAGCCCCGUAAGGGGUUCAGCCAAGCCGUACUAAUGGCCGAGGGCUUAACCUG
rnacentral:ncRNA from 1 species